rnacentral:rRNA from 1 species
UAAACGCUGGCGGCGUGCAUGAGACAUGCAAGUCGAACGAAGGAUCGGGCUUGCUCGAUCCUUAGUGGCGGACGGCUGAGUAACGCGUAGGUGACCUACCCCGAAGUGGGGAAUAACUGCCCGAAAGGGUGGCUAAUACCGCAUGUGGUCGCACGUUCAUUCGUGCGAGUAAAGCCGCAAGGCGCUUCGGGAGGGGCCUGCGUCCGAUUAGCUCGUUGGUGGGGUAAUGGCUUACCAAGGCGACGAUCGGUAGGUGGUCUGAGAGGACGAUCACCCAGACUGGGACUGAGACACGGCCCAGACUCCUACGGGAGGCAGCAGUCGGGAAUUUUGCUCAAUGGGGGAAACCCUGAAGCAGCAACGCCGCGUGAGGGAUGAAGGCCUUCGGGUUGUAAACCUCUUUUGUCAGGGACGAUGAUGACGGUACCUGGCGAAUAAGCCACGGCUAACUACGUG